GGAAUAUCUCACGGAGGGCUCUACCGUCGAAGUUACUUCCGACGAGGAAGGAUUUGAGGGAGUUUGGUUUGACGGAACAAUCCUUAAUUACAGUUUAAACAAGAAGAAAGUGUUGGUUGAGUACCGGAGUAUACUUGCUGAUGAUAAUGGGUCCAAACCAUUGAGGGAGUUGGUGCAUGUUUCUUUUGUUCGACCCGUGCCUCCGCUUGAAAUUGUUGAGUGUUUUGGGUUACACGACGUCGUUGAUGCGUCUUACAAGGACGGUUGGUGGACGGGUGUUAUUACAAAGGUUCUUGACGAUUCUAG
rnacentral:misc_RNA from 1 species